GUGAGGGAGUGGGUGACUAGUGACACAGGGAGGGAAUGGGAGACUAGUGACAGAGUGAGGGAAUGGGUGACUAGUGGCAGAGUGAGGGAGGGAAGGGGUGACUAGUGACAGAGUGGGGGGGGGGUGACUGUCACUAGUCACCCCAUCCCUCUCUCUGUCACUAGUUACUCCAUCCCUAACUCUGUCACUGUGUCACCCGCUCCCUCACUCUGUCACUAGUCACCCCCUUACUCUGUCACUGUGUUACCCCCUCCCUCUGUCACUAGUCACCCCCUCCCUCAC